GUACUUGCUUCAGUGGCACACACACUAAAAUACAAAAAAGAUUUGCAUGCCCCAGUGCAAGGAUGACAUGAAAAUUUAUGAAGCUUUCCGUAUUUUU
rnacentral:snRNA from 1 species